rnacentral:rRNA from 1 species
AGUGAACGCUGGCGGUAGGCCUAACACAUGCAAGUCGAACGGCAGCACAGAGGAGCUUGCUCCUUGGGUGGCGAGUGGCGGACGGGUGAGGAAUACAUCGGAAUCUACUCUGUCGUGGGGGAUAACGUAGGGAAACUUACGCUAAUACCGCAUACGACCUACGGGUGAAAGCAGGGGAUCUUCGGACCUUGCGCGAUUGAAUGAGCCGAUGUCGGAUUAGCUAGUUGGCGGGGUAAAGGCCCACCAAGGCGACGAUCCGUAGCUGGUCUGUGAGGAUGAUCAGACACACCGGAACUUGGACACGGUCCAGACUCCUACGGGAGGCAGCAGUGGGGAAUAUUGGACAAUGUGCGCAAGUCUGAUCCAGCCAUACCGCGUGGGUGAAGAAGGCCUUCGGGUUGUAAAGCCCUUUUGUUGGGAAAGAAAUCCAUCUGGUUAAUACCCGGGUGGGAUGACGGUACCCAAAGAAUAAGCACCGGCUAACUUCGUGCCAGCCGCCGCCGUAA